UUAUUGCAUUUGAAGCCUACAAAGACGGAAACCUCGAGCAGAGGCACUACAAACCUGUCAAUAAAAGGAAAUACGAUGAAAUCCUAAAGAAAAGGUUGAAAAAGAAAGGAACUAACACUGCUGAAGUGUCUAACAUUCGGGAAGCCUCUCAAACUCAAAUACAGAUAGAUAGGUUCAGUACAAACAAUACGAAUGAAAAAAAGGAGAAGCAGUCACAUAAUUUAACAGACGUUCCUGAUAUAAAAACACUCUUGCAAAGUUGUUUGCAUGAAAAAAGGUCAUCACUGUUCAACAGUUAUUGUGAACCUUGCUUCCGAGGAAACAAAGAAUCAGUCUCUUUUAGCUGGUGCUCUGAUUGUGAGGAAACCCUAUGUUCUGCUUGUGAUGAAGCACACAAGAUAAGCAAAGUAUCACUGUCACACACUGCAGUUGCUGUAGAUAAGAUAUCAUCAGCUACUCCUAUUACUGUAUCUUCUUAUGUCCUGUGCGAAACCCAUCCAGAAAUCUCUGUGGAAUUUUAUUGUUCUGAUCACAGUCUUCUGUGUUGUUGGGCGUGUAUUCAAAGAGUUCAUCGCACUUGUAAAAUUGUCUUAAUUCAAGAUGUAUCCAAAAAGGCAAAGCAAUCUGCAUUGUUUGAAAAACUUUCUAUUAAUGUAAAGGAGUUAUUUCACGACACGGAACAACUGAAAGAGCGUCAUACCAAAAAUUUGGAUGAAAUUAAUCAACAGGAACUGGCGAUUACGAGUAAAUUAAAACAGAUUAAAGUCGUAUUUGAUAAUCAUUUUGAAAAACUUGAAUCACAAUUAGAAAACGAAAUGAAACAAUUAAAACAGAAAGCUGUUUCUAAAGUUAACCAGAACGGGGAUACUAUACAUAAACUAUCUACCGGUUUGAAAAAGCAUAUAGGUGAUUUUAAAUUUGUCUCCGACCAUGGUUCGAACAGACAGGCAUUUAUGCUGGCAAAUAUUCUUAAACCGGAGAUUGAGAAGAGAGAAUCUGAGUUGAAUGAACUGAUUGCUUUAGAACGGAAAAUAGGUGUCAAAUUUGAAACAAACGUAGAUGCCCUCUAUCUAGACAAUAAAAUUAAAAGCCUUGGAACCAUUGCAAUUACGGAGACUCCAAUAGAAUUCAAAAGCAUUCGACAUUCGAUAGCGCAGAGUAUGAAAUCCCAAGAGGGCACAAAAGAAUAAAACAGAGACCAUAACUGCUUAUAAAGAAAACAAAAAUUAGCCGUCAGAAUUAUAUAUACGAUGUCAGUUAGGGGACGACCAUUUGUUUUUCUUGUGGGAUGGGGGGAGGGGGGGGGGACAAGGAGGAUUUUGAAAAUGAAUCACUUGGUCUGAAAUUUUCGCACGGAGAAGCCGUUGAAUUUUUUUUUUUCAUCGUAGCAACAGAUAAAGAUGAAUUACCAAUCCGGAAAAUCAUCCUGUACCCCUCCCCCUAAUAUUAAAUCUUCACUUACAAAUAGAAAGGAAGUCACUUCUGGAGGACUAUAUUAGUACUUGGAUUUAUUUUGAAAUGAAUACCUUGAUAUUUAUAAUAAUCAGGAAUAUGUUUUACAAUCGCACUUGGAUUUUUUUUUAAUGUGAGACUGAAGCUUAUAAAAAAUGAAUAAAGAAUAUAA